rnacentral:rRNA from 1 species
UACGUAGGGGGCAAGCGUUAUCCGGAUUUACUGGGUGUAAAGGGGGCGCAGACGGCAAUGCAAGCCAGGAGUGAAAGCCCGGGGCCCAACCCCGGGACUGCUCUUGGAACUGCAUGGCUGGAGUACAGGAGGGGCAGGCGGCAUUCCUAGUGUAGCGGUGAAAUGCGUAGAUAUUAGGAGGAACACCGGUGGCGAAGGCGGCCUGCUGGACUGUGACUGACGUUGAGGCCCGAAGGCGUGGGGAGCAAACAGG